GACGAACGCUGGCGGCGUGCUUAACACAUGCAAGUCGAACGGAAAGGCCCUGCUUUUGUGGGGUGCUCGAGUGGCGAACGGGUGAGUAACACGUGAGUAACCUGCCCUUGACUUUGGGAUAACUUCAGGAAACUGGGGCUAAUACCGGAUAGGAGCUCCUGCUGCAUGGUGGGGGUUGGAAAGUUUCGGCGGUUGGGGAUGGACUCGCGGCUUAUCAGCUUGUUGGUGGGGUAGUGGCUUACCAAGGCUUUGACGGGUAGCCGGCCUGAGAGGGUGACCGGCCACAUUGGGACUGAGAUACGGCCCAGACUCCUACGGGAGGCAGCAGUGGGGAAUAUUGCACAAUGGGCGGAAGCCUGAUGCAGCAACGCCGCGUGCGGGAUGACGGCCUUCGGGUUGUAAACCGCUUUCGCCUGUGACGAAGCGUGAGUGACGGUAAUGGGUAAAGAAGCACCGGCUAACUACGUGCCAGCAGCCGCGGUGAUACGUAGGGUGCGAGCGUUGUCCGGAUUUAUUGGGCGUAAAGGGCUCGUAGGUGGUUGAUCGCGUCGGAAGUGUAAUCUUGGGGCUUAACCCUGAGCGUGCUUUCGAUACGGGUUGACUUGAGGAAGGUAGGGGAGAAUGGAAUUCCUGGUGGAGCGGUGGAAUGCGCAGAUAUCAGGAGGAACACCAGUGGCGAAGGCGGUUCUCUGGGCCUUUCCUGACGCUGAGGAGCGAAAGCGUGGGGAGCGAACAGGCUUAGAUACCCUGGUAGUCCACGCUGUAAACGGUGGGUACUAGGUGUGGGGUCCAUUCCACGGGUUCCGUGCCGUAGCUAACGCUUUAAGUACCCCGCCUGGGGAGUACGGCCGCAAGGCUAAAACUCAAAGGAAUUGACGGGGCCCCGCACAAGCGGCGGAGCAUGCGGAUUAAUUCGAUGCAACGCGUAGAACCUUACCUGGGUUUGACAUGGAUCGGGAGUGCUCAGAGAUGGGUGUGCCUCUUUUGGGGUCGGUUCACAGGUGGUGCAUGGCUGUCGUCAGCUCGUGUCGUGAGAUGUUGGGUUAAGUCCCGCAACGAGCGCAACCCUUGUUCACUGUUGCCAGCACGUUAUGGUGGGGACUCAGUGGAGACCGCCGGGGUCAACUCGGAGGAAGGUGGGGAUGACGUCAAGUCAUUAUGCCCCUUAUGUCCAGGGCUUCACGCAUGCUACAAUGGCUGGUACAGAGAGUGGCGAGCCUGUGAGGGUGAGCGAAUCUCGGAAAGCCGGUCUCAGUUCGGAUUGGGGUCUGCAACUCGACCUCAUGAAGUCGGAGUCGCUAGUAAUCGCAGAUCAGCAACGCUGCGGUGAAUACGUUCCCGGGGCU
rnacentral:rRNA from 1 species